CCCAAACGUGUGUAUGCACAUAACGAAGGUGCAAUUGUAAUUGUGCGGCUCUCCGGCCUGCCUGGCACGGCCCUUGCUUCCAACAGAAAGCUGACAAUCUCCGCUGCCUGGGCGAAACACAAAGGUCUCCCGUUCUUCCAAGGCUCCGGCCGAUAACGCUGCGCUGGGGAAUUGUGCGAACUCUGUGGCUCCGGAAAGCUGUUUAAAGUCCGUGAGAAAAUAUCUCCAUCCACCUUACACAUACUGUGUAUGCAUACAUUACUAUAAACACAAAUGGGCACAUAAAAACUAUAAAAUCACGCUAAGAAAGAACUAAAAAAUUGCUCUUUGGCCCCAAAUCUGUCAUUCAGGACAAUUGAAAUUUCUCCUUAAGCUGAAGGAAGCAUCAGCUGAGCAAAGUUACCAUGACAGAGAUCAAGCAAAAUGCUAUUAGGUAAAUACCCAACACAGUGAAGGUCUUUAUUGAUUUUUCAGCAAAAUGAAGUUACUGUACUUAUUUUAAAGAUCAAUUUUAUCACCUGAGCUUAGGUAUGUUGGACUUCAAACAAAGAAAGAGGGCAAUCCUUUAUAAACCCCUCUGUGACCCUAAACAGC
rnacentral:lncRNA from 1 species